GUCGAGAAUCAUUCGCAAUGGGCGCAAGCCUGACGAUGCGACGCCGCGUGUGGGAUGGAGGCCUUCGGGUUGUAAACCACUGUCACAGGGGAAGAAACGCGCGAACGCUAACAUCGUUCGCGUCUGACGUUACUCUGAGAGGAAGCCACGGCUAACUCCGUGCCAGCAGCCGCGGUAAUACGGAGGUGGCGAGCGUUGUUCGGAAUUACUGGGCGUAAAGGGUGUGUAGGCGGUCGGACGUGUUCGGUGUGAAAGCCCCCGGCUCACUCGGGGAACAGCAUCGAAAACUGUCCGGCUUGAGUGCAGGAGAGGAGAAUGGAAUUUCCGGUGUAGCGGUGAAAUGCGUAGAUAUCGGAAGGAACGCCAAUGGCGAAAGCAGUUCUCUGGCCUGUUACUGACGCUGAGGCACGAAAGCCAAGGGAGCAAACGGGAUUAGAUACCCUGGUAGUCC
rnacentral:rRNA from 1 species